AGAGUUUGAUCAUGGCUCAGGAUGAACGCUAGCUACAGGCUUAACACAUGCAAGUCGAGGGGCAUCGGGGAGUAGCAAUACUCUGCCGGCGACCGGCGCACGGGUGAGUAACACGUAUCCAACCUGCCUUCAGCUCGGGGAUAGCCCUCUGAAAGGAGGAUUAAUACCCGAUGUGGUUGCCUUAGGACAUCCUUAGGUAAUUAAAGAUUUAUCGGCUGAUGAUGGGGAUGCGUAUGAUUAGCUUGUUGGCGGGUAACGGCCACCAGGCGACGAUCAUUAGGGUUCUGAGAGGAAGGUCCCCCACAUAGGAACUGAGACACGGUCCUAACUCCUACGGGAGGCAGCAGUGAGGAAUAUUGGUCAAUGGACGCGAGUCUGAACCAGCCAAGUAGCGUGAAAGGAUGACUGCCCUACGGGUUGUAAACUUCUUUUAUGGGAGGAUAAAGUGCGGCACGUGUGCCGUUUUGCAGGUAUCCCAUGAAUAAGCAUCGGCUAAUUCCGUGCCAGCCGCCGC
rnacentral:rRNA from 1 species